rnacentral:tRNA from 1 species
GCGAGCGUAGCCAAAUGGUUAAGGCAGUGGGUUGUGACUCCAUUAUGCGCGGGUUCAACUCCCGUCGUUCGCC